rnacentral:rRNA from 1 species
CUUGGUUCAGGACGAACGCUGGCGGCGUGCCUAAUACAUGCAAGUCGAACGGCUUUUCUAUGGAAGCUUGCUUCCACUGAGAAGAUAGUGGCGGACGGGUGAGUAACACGUGGGUAACCUGCCCAUAAGAGGGGGAUAACAUCCGGAAACGGGUGCUAAUACCGCAUAGUUUUCUUGAUCGCAUGAUUGAGAAAGGAAAGACGGCCUUUGUGCUGUCGCUUAUGGAUGGACCCGCGGCGUAUUAGUUAGUUGGUGAGGUAAUGGCUCACCAAGACGAUGAUACGUAGCCGACCUGAGAGGGUGAUCGGCCACAUUGGGACUGAGACACGGCCCAAACUCCUACGGGAGGCAGCAGUAGGGAAUCUUCCGCAAUGGACGAAAGUCUGACGGAGCAACGCCGCGUGAGUGAAGAAAGGUUUUCGGAUCGUAAAACUCUGUUGUCAGAGAAGAACAAGUUGGAGAGUAACUGCUCCAGCCUUGACGGUAUCUGACCAGAAAGCCACGGCUAACUACGUGCCAGCCGCCGC